rnacentral:rRNA from 1 species
GGCCUACCAUGGUGGUAACGGGUAAGGGGUGUUAGGGCACGACACCGGAGAGGGAGCCUGAGAAACGGCUACCACAUCCAAGGAAGGCAGCAGGCGCGCAAAUUACCCAAUCCCGACAUGGGGAGGUAGUGACAAUAAAUAACAAUACAGGGUUCUUUUGGAUCUCGUAAUUGGAAUGAGUACAAUUUAAAUCUCUUAACGAGGAACAAUUGGAGGGCAAGUCUGGUGCCAGCAGCCGCGGUAAUUCCAGCUCCAAUAGCGUAUAUUAAAGUUGUUGCAGUUAAAAAGCUCGUAGUUGAACUUCGGGAUCAAUUAGUUGGUCAUGCCUUGGUAUGUACUGAUUUUAUUGGUUCCCACCUUCUAAAGAACUAUAAUGUCAUUUAUUUGAUGUUAUGGGGAAUUAGGACUGUUACCUUGAAAAAAUUAGAGUGUUUAAAGCAGGCUCACGCUUGAAUACAUUAGCAUGGAAUAAUGAAAUAGGACAUCNGAUUCUAUUUUGUUGGUUUCUAGGAUCGAUGUAAUGAUUAAUAGGGAUAGUUGGGGGCAUUAGUAUUCAAUUGUCAGAGGUGAAAUUCUUGGAUUUAUUGAAGACUAACUACUGCGAAAGCAUUUGCCAAGGAUGUUUUCAUUAAUCAAGAACGAAAGUUAGGGGAUCGAAGACGAUCAGAUACCGUCGUAGUCUUAACCAUAAACUAUGCCGACUAGGGAUCGGAUGAUGUUGAUUUUUUAAUGACUCAUUCGGCACCUUACGGGAAACCAAAGG